UUCAAGCAACUCAGUUACACAACCCUAUAUACUUAUCUAUACACGCUGAGCCAAACAACUCGGCAGGAAAUGAAGAAAAGGACCCCCCUAAAAAAGAUUACUACUACGUUCACGUAUACUCCAAGAACAAGCUAAACGACAUCCCAGCCGAAGAUUACUAUUCUAAAAUGUCUGUCCGUCGGCGUUGCAUAGUGGUUAGCGCGCCUGCCUGUAACCCAUGCAGAGGUAAUAAUUGCUUCAACCCAGUGGUCACUAAUGAGUUAUAACGUUAACCAAAUAUCAGGCAUACAUGAAAAAAUCACCUACAAAGUAACAUACAUGGUAUAAGCUGGCGAUAUAGGUGUAUGAACACCCGUGUUAUAACGACUGUCGUUUUUAGGUCACGCAAGGAUAAAGUAAGUUACAUUCCCAUUCAUAUACACUGAUACACCUUAACUGUAACUAUAUAAAGUAAACAAUCCAAAUUCACACUAUGACAUCGUGUGCUAGUAAACAAAGAACAUUCAAAGAAGUAUAAAAUCAUACCCUUACAAUUUUCAUAGACCGUUGUUAAUUGUUUAAAAAUAAACGAUCAGGAUAUUUGAACAUUGCUGUGUGCUAAAGGUGUCCAAUGAAAUAACAUUACCUCUUCUAUAGGAGGUCCUUUUUUAUUUCCUGCCGAGUUGUUUGGCUCAGCGUGUAUAUAUAAGUAUAUAAGGUUAUGUAACUGAGUUGCUUGAAUGCGAGGAAAAUAAGUUAGCACUUAGCAACACAUUACUUCCUGUAAUAAAUUAUUGGACCGCGCGCUGUGCGAUUUUCUUGUAAGUUGACAACUUAUAUACCAAGAUCCGGGUUUCUGUAAUGGUUUGAUGAUAUUUCUGAUGAAUCUUUUAUCGCCUAGCGCUUCGUUGGUAGCUUCUGUUGUGGAAGUUGUUAAAAGAGGAUGUUCCCUUCUUACAAUACACGAGAAGUCUUUGCUUUUCUUGGAGACUUCUCCUUUGGGCUGCUCAAAUAGUUUGGAAGUAAAUGAACCUAAAUGCCUCUGAUUGGCGAAAGGAGUUAUUGUACAGAACCUUAUAAAUACGAGGCCGUAUCUUGCUUAUAAGACUUCACAAGUUAAUCAACCACUGCAAGAUGGAUCACCAUUCUACUUAUCGGACUCGUCUGCUUCGUCAAGCAAGGAGAGAGUUAUUAUAACUGGGCAAAAUACAACCAAAAAAAGCAAUGAAGAAAAAAAGCCAGAAGAGAAAGGUAAU